rnacentral:rRNA from 1 species
CGGGACACGUGGUAUCCUGUCUGAAUAUGGGGGGACCAUCCUCCAAGGCUAAAUACUCCUGACUGACCGAUAGUGAACCAGUACCGUGAGGGAAAGGCGAAAAGAACCCCGGCGAGGGGAGUGAAAAAGAACCUGAAACCGUGUACGUACAAGCAGUGGGAGCACGCUUAGGCGUGUGACUGCGUACCUUUUGUAUAAUGGGUCAGCGACUUAUAUUCUGUAGCAAGGUUAACCGAAUAGGGGAGCCGAAGGGAAACCGAGUCUUAACUGGGCGUUAAGUUGCAGGGUAUAGACCCGAAACCCGGUGAUCUAGCCAUGGGCAGGUUGAAGGUUGGGUAACACUAACUGGAGGACCGAACCGACUAAUGUUGAAAAAUUAGCGGAUGACUUGUGGCUGGGGGUGAAAGGCCAAUCAAACCGGGAGAUAGCUGGUUCUCCCCGAAAGCUAUUUAGGUAGCGCCUCGUGAAUUCAUCUCCGGGGGUAGAGCACUGUUUCGGCAAGGGGGUCAUCCCGACUUACCAACCCGAUGCAAACUGCGAAUACCGGAGAAUGUUAUCACGGGAGACACACGGCGGGUGCUAACGUCCGUCGUGAAGAGGGAAACAACCCAGACCGCCAGCUAAGGUCCCAAAGUCAUGGUUAAGUGGGAAACGAUGUGGGAAGGCCCAGACAGCCAGGAUGUUGGCUUAGAAGCAGCCAUCAUUUAAAGAAAGCGUAAUAGCUCACUGGUCGAGUCGGCCUGCGCGGAAGAUGUAACGGGGCUAAACCAUGCACCGAAGCUGCGGCAGCGACGCUUAUGCGUUGUUGGGUAGGGGAGCGUUCUGUAAGCCUGUGAAGGUGUACUGUGAGGUAUGCUGGAGGUAUCAGAAGUGCGAAUGCUGACAUAAGUAACGAUAAAGCGGGUGAAAAGCCCGCUCGCCGGAAGACCAAGGGUUCCUGUCCAACGUUAAUCGGGGCAGGGUGAGUCGACCCCUAAGGCGAGGCCGAAAGGCGUAGUCGAUGGGAAACAGGUUAAUAUUCCUGUACUUGGUGUUACU